AAGACUAUACUUUCAGGAAUCAUUUCUAUAGUUUGUUUAUCGUCUGCCUCCCCCUCCUAGCAUGUAAAGCUCCAUGAGGAUAGGAGU
ensembl:snoRNA U3 Small nucleolar RNA U3